rnacentral:rRNA from 1 species
GGGGGCGGCAGCCUACACAUGCAGUCGAGCGGAACGAGUUAUCUGAACCUUCGGGGAACGAUAACGGCGUCGAGCGGCGGACGGGUGAGUAAUGCCUAGGAAAUUGCCCUGAUGUGGGGGAUAACCAUUGGAAACGAUGGCUAAUACCGCAUGAUGCCUACGGGCCAAAGAGGGGGACCUUCGGGCCUCUCGCGUCAGGAUAUGCCUAGGUGGGAUUAGCUAGUUGGUGAGGUAAGGGCUCACCAAGGCGACGAUCCCUAGCUGGUCUGAGAGGAUGAUCAGCCACACUGGAACUGAGACACGGUCCAGACUCCUACGGGAGGCAGCAGUGGGGAAUAUUGCACAAUGGGCGCAAGCCUGAUGCAGCCAUGCCGCGUGUGUGAAGAAGGCCUUCGGGUUGUAAAGCACUUUCAGUCGUGAGGAAGGUAGUGUCGUUAAUAGCUGCAUUAUUUGACGUUAGCGACAGAAGAAGCACCGGCUAACUCCGUGCCAGCAGCCGCGGUAAUACGGAGGGUGCGAGCGUUAAUCGGAAUUACUGGGCGUAAAGCGCAUGCAGGUGGUUUGUUAAGUCAGAUGUGAAAGCCCGGGGCUCAACCUCGGAAUAGCAUUUGAAACUGGCAGACUAGAGUACUGUAGAGGGGGGUAGAAUUUCAGGUGUAGCGGUGAAAUGCGUAGAGAUCUGAAGGAAUACCGGUGGCGAAGGCGGCCCCCUGGACAGAUACUGACACUCAGAUGCGAAAGCGUGGGGAGCAAACAGGAUUAGAUACCCUGGUAGUCCACGCCGUAAACGAUGUCUACUUGGAGGUUGUGGCCUUGAGCCGUGGCUUUCGGAGCUAACGCGUUAAGUAGACCGCCUGGGGAGUACGGUCGCAAGAUUAAAACUCAAAUGAAUUGACGGGGGCCCGCACAAGCGGUGGAGCAUGUGGUUUAAUUCGAUGCAACGCGAAGAACCUUACCUACUCUUGACAUCCAGAGAACUUUCCAGAGAUGGAUUGGUGCCUUCGGGAACUCUGAGACAGGUGCUGCAUGGCUGUCGUCAGCUCGUGUUGUGAAAUGUUGGGUUAAGUCCCGCAACGAGCGCAACCCUUAUCCUUGUUUGCCAGCGAGUAAUGUCGGGAACUUC